UACGUAGGCAGCGAGCGUUGUUCGGAGUUACUGGGCGUAAAGCGUGCGUAGGCGGUGGUCCAAGUCUGGUGUGAAAUCUCCCGGCUUAACUGGGAGGGUGCGCCGGAAACUGGGCCGCUGGAGUACGGGAGAGGCAAGCGGAAUUCCUGGUGUAGCGGUGAAAUUCGUAGAGAUCGGGAGGAACACCAGUGGCGAAGGCGCCUAUCUGGCUGACAACUGACGCUGAGACUCGAAAGCAUGGGGAGCAAACAGG
rnacentral:rRNA from 1 species